rnacentral:sRNA from 1 species
ACCUCCUGAAAAGGUGAAUGUUAAAGGUGGCGCUAUUGCAUUAGGACACCCUAUUGGUGCAUCUGGUGCUAGAGUAUUAGUGACAUUAUUGCAUCAACUGAAUGAUGAAGUUGAAACUGGUUUAACAUCAUUGUGUAUUGGUGGCGGUCAAGCUAUCGCUGCAGUUGUAUCAAAAUAUAAAUAAUAAGAAAACAGGUUAUCACAACAGUAUUAAUU